rnacentral:rRNA from 1 species
GGUGAACGCUGGCGGCGUGCUUAAGACAUGCAAGUCGAACGCAGUCUUCGGACUGAGUGGCGCACGGGUGAGUAACACGUAACUGACCUACCCCCAAGUCGCGGAUAACUGGCCGAAAGGUCAGCUAAUACGUGAUGUGAUGUCCCCCUUCUGGGGGGCCAUUAAAGGUUUACUGCGUGGGGAUGGGGUUGCGUUCCAUCAGCUAGUUGGCGGGGUAAAGGCCCACCAAGGCAACGACGGAUAGCCGGCCUGAGAGGGUGGCCGGCCACAGGGGCACUGAGACACGGGUCCCACUCCUACGGGAGGCAGCAGUUAGGAAUCUUCCACAAUGGGCGAAAGCCUGAUGGAGCGACGCCGCGUGAGGGAUGAAGGUUCUCGGAUCGUAAACCUCUGAAUCAGGGACGAAAGACGCGUAAGCGGGAUGACGGUACCUGAGUAAUAGCACCGGCUAACUCCGUGCCAGCCGCCGCAGUAA